rfam:Lepisosteus oculatus linkage group LG22, whole genome shotgun sequence.
CCGGGGGAGGUGACGAAACCGUUACCAUUACUGAGCUUUAGUAAUGGUAAGGGUUAUGUCGCCUCUUCUCAA